rnacentral:lncRNA from 1 species
CAGAGAGCUAGAGGCAAAACACGUCCCACAGCACCAGUGCAAAGUUUCUUAGAGCUCAGGGAACGUACCCUGCUUAGCGAUCCACUCCCCUCUGCACGUCAGAGCUUGAAGAUCCAAAAGAGACAAAGAAGAGGGUCCGGGAAGACCACACUUAACACAAGCAACACAGAGUCAGAAAUGGAAACAGUCUCUGUUCUAGAGCAGAUCUGAGGAAAUUCCCAGGAACACUUAGCAACAGGCUCUCGCAAUCAACCACCAGCAGGCUUGGAUCUAAGGAGCAGAUUCUGCAGUUAAGAUGACCUUUUACUAUACUCAUGCAAAUUUUCAAGAAAAGGGCAGAUGCUCAUUACAUACACUGCAACACAUCAAAGGAUAGGAGAGGCAGAGAGACAGCCGUUCCACCAACACCGGCUAGGGCACGUGCAGAGCGUACCGCUGAACCUGCCUAUACCCAGCUAGGCUACGCUUUCCUCCUCAAGCAUCAGUUCUACAGUAAAGGGAGUUGGGUCCUGGGAGGGUGACCCCCCAAAAGGAAGGCCUACCCGAGAGCAAACGCUGAUCGGCGCAGGCUGAAAGGCUGAACAACACUCCCAGCAAAACCCGAGUCACUGACUUAAGGACAUCAACAGAAAGACUCGCGCACAUUUCAGCAGGUUUGGGAUUGGGCUCCAUUCUCUCCAUUGCUCAUCAGGGAUUCUGAAGGACAAAGUGUGAUAUACAUCACAAUUAAAUUUGCUGCACAGCAAAAUCAGUGUCAUCAGAGCAGGGAGGGCAGAAGCAGAGUAAAUGGGGUUGGGACCCCAGGCCACCAGGGGCCAUAAAGCAUUGCCCUGUAACUAACAAGAACUACUAAAUAAUGAGACACAAAUCAGGCUGCAUUCUGGGAACGACCUGAUGCACGGGUUUACUGGCCCUCACUGACAGCCCAGCCUUGAGAAGGAUAAAAAUCCUCAUCAGAAAGGUCUCUGCCAUGCCAGAGCUCAAGUUCUAGUUCUCAGUCGCAGAAAAGAAAUGCCACCGAGAGGUCUGUUUGUGUCUUGUUUUGCCACAUGGCUUUUUCAAGCUAAUGUCUUCGUUCAACAACUCUAUAAGGGAAGCCAGCCAGGGGCUAGUCCAACAGCAAAAGUGAUAGUAAACAAUAGUAACAUAUUUCUGUAGGGAAUUCUCUUGAUGCUUCGAAACUCAAGUCCAGCUCUUACAACAUCCCUGCGGAGCCCCAUUCAUCGGGUGCAAUGCUGAGCAUUUCUAUCAGAUGGGAAAGGAACUUCUGUUUCAUUAACUGUGUCUGAGCUUGCCGAGGGGAACUUGAGGGACCAGACACUUUCCCAGCCUACACUCACGGCAAGCCAGUAUCUUCCAAAAAGGCCUCUUCAGACACUCAUUAACAAAAUAACAACAUUAAGAGAACGUUGCGCAAGGAAGGUGGUGCCAGAAAUCUCUCAGUCAUCUAAGAGAGACUGAUCCAAGAGGCAGGACAGGGAGGACUUGCUUGCACAAGCCAGGCAAGCAAGGAACAAUUU